GCUGGGAUAGCUCAGUUGGUAGAGCAUGAGACUCUUUAAUCUCAGCCACAGGUUCCAGCCCCAUGUUGGGCA